ensembl:lncRNA
UGCUUUUCUUCAUGUCUAAAAGAAAGAACGAAGAGUUUAUGCUUUUGUUUUCAACUGUUUGGGUUUUUUUUCAGCUGAAAUGUAGCAUUCAAAGGGGUAUAUGUGACUCUAAGAACACAUAGAAGACACUUCUUCAUCUGUCCUGACCAUACUGGCUUUUAAUCCCUUACGCUUUCUUCAGUUCUUGAGGAGCUUGUGGUUACCUUAGCUGCAAUGAUCUUAGAGGACUUGUUCCAGCUACAUUCAUGCUGAGUAGGACCUCAUUCAGCAAACAGCCUCUCAGUAAUCAAUAUGCCUGCGGGGGAGGAAAUACAGUGUGCCAGAGACCCAAGCAAAGCAGUACAACUCAUAGCCAUGAAGGGGCAGCUGGGGACAGGCAAAGCAAGGCAAGGCCUAGCACUGUGAGUACCAGGACAACCUUGCUGCCCAGCACUGUGAAUGUUAGUUACAACAUUACAGAACUAUUGCUCAUCAUUAUUUCCUAGACCUCAGGGUCAUGCACUACUUUGCAAGCUGGCUAUCCAGAAUUGCUUGCUCUGGAAAAUCCUGGAUGUGUCUCAUAACUGUGUCAGAGGAACAAAGGACAAAGCCAUCGACCUGGAGCACAUCACUAAACAGGAGCUGAAUUACUGCUUUCUGUUAGACACCGAAUGAUUGUCACUGGGACUACAUCCAGCUACCUGUGAGGGAUCUCCAGGAAGCCUGACACAGGAACUUUUGCAUUAGUGAAAAUGAAGUGCUCUGUUGAAGGCAUUACUUUCAGGAGACUGAAGGGAAAGGAGGGAUUCAAUGUCAUUUCACUUCCUGAAGCACAGUCUGGAGAGCGCACCUGAAGAACUGCAAGUGUUAGAUGCUCCCACAGAGCAAAGGCAUACGCCACUGGAAAAGCCCUCCUCGUGCUGACAAGCAGAUAAAAAUUUUCUAGAUGCCUCAGUUCUGGCCUGUGGAAUAAGACAACAGGGAAGGAUACAAGAAAGAAUGAAGCAGCAGCACAGAUCACAAGGCACUACAAAUUAUUACAACUUUCUUCCUCACCUUUCAUAGAAUCACUAUGGUUAGAAAAGACCUCUAAGAUCGUCCAGACCAACCACCAACCCAUCCCCACCAUGCUCCUCAAUGCUGCAUCCGCACGGUUCUUGUACACCCCCAAGGACGGUGACUCCACCACCCCCCUGGGCAGCCUGUGCCACUGCAUCACCACUCUGCCUGAGAAGUUUUUCCUAAUACUCAACCUGAACCUCCCCCUUUCACAGCUGGACCAGAAAUUUUCCAGCAGACAGCUCACACUGAAAGUUAAAUACACAAGAAUAUCCAAAUUAACAGAGACACUUGCAAUAAAGAUCUUAUUAAGAUGUCAACAUUGUUUACGGAUUACGGAACAACUUAGAGAACCUCAAGAACUUUGUACUCCCUCUUUCUGAUCAGUGCUUGGUUGUUGCUUGGGGGAUGCAGGGAAUACACGUUUAAGACCUGCAAACUUAGAGACAACUGUUAGUGCCUAAAGAACUGAAGUCACUGAUGGCUAGACCACAGCAAGAAGGAAGCAGUGACGUGAACUGAGAGGAAUUCAGGACUCACAGACAGAUGGAGCUGUUUCCCACCUGUAGGGCUAAAUCUGGCAUAGACGACAGCCCGCAUUGAGCUGGCACUGAGCUGAGCUCCUGCCUGGUUGUGGGAAUACCCUGCUUUCAGUCUUGGGUGAAGCUGAUCUGUGAGUCCAGUCCUGGAAGUUAAGAGGUCUCUUACGCCCCACAGUGUGAAAGAAUUGGUGGGUACAUGGGUAGGAGUGGCUUCCCUGGGUAGUCAAAGCAGCCAGCUCAAAAAAACUGAGCAAUCAUGCCGAUAAACAAAAUAGAUCACUGGUUAAAAUAAAUAAUAGAAAAAAAAAAAAGAAGCAGGAAUAAAUGGAGAAGGUUACUGCUAGUGUUCCUCUAAAGCAGAUUUGGGGCAACCUGUUGAGAUAAUUUACUGAUAAGGUGUCAUGCAUAACAAGGUAACGGUUUGUCUACAUUCCCACAUUACUCAAGGUUUUAAAGUGGAAGUUCACUGUGAAUAGCUGCAGAAAGAUCUGCCAGAAACUGCCAGAUAAAAUGGAAGAUAAAGUUCAAGGUCAAUAAAUGCAAAACAAAUCAUAGAUAAAAAUGGCAGUAAUUGUGCACGCUCAGUGGUACACUAAAUUAGAUAAACUUUCCUAAGAAAGAGGCAUGUCAGAGUUGAUCUAAAAAGUAAACAAAUUAGAGCUAAAAACAAAACAGAACAGGAGAUAUUGCUGUGCCACUGCAAAAAUGUAACAUGCCAGUGCACCCUGAAUACCAGCUACUGUCCUGGUCCUGGUCUCACGAAGGAUCCAAGAGUGACUGGAAAGGGUUCAGAAGUAGACAAUGAGAUCAACUGAAGGACACAGCUGCUUUCUGUCCAGGAGAAGUUACAGAUGGGGCUUCCGUGCCAUGGUAAAUGAAUGACAGAAGGGGUUACAUGGAAAAAGAUCUCAGAUGACACAGAGUAGAGGAAUAGACUGGUUACGACUUGCUGACCCUCAGAAUACAGGAAUCAGAAGCUAUUGUGUUACAUGCUCAACGUGAGAACUGGAAACAACAGACCAAGAAUACAAGCUGUAUACACUGAGGCACUCUGUGCUGUGUAUACCAAAAAUUUGUAUGGAUGCAACAUGCAGUUGUACAACUCAUACAGGACAAAAGAUCAAGGUCUAGGAUAGGAAAGAAAGAUGCUUUGACCAGCUUGGAGAGCCUCCAAGAUGAGGCUUCACUGGAAGCUGCAAAGAUAUCGUUGGACACUUGUCCUGCCUUUAUCCUCUUCCUUGCCUGGGUGCUGACUGCUCAUGUGAGAGUGAGGGUGGUAAGUCCAACCUCUGGGGUGUUACCAGGUGCAUUUGUGGUUAAAGCACAGCCAGCUACAAAUGACGGCAGAAAGCCAUCCAGUGUGGUGCCAAACAGCAUUUAGGGUGAAAAUGGAGAUUAAGAAGCCAGAUGGAAAAGAAGACAGCAAGUUUAAAAGGAUGGGAGCAGAGGGACACCCCAUUUUGAUACACAGUUUGAGACUGCAGCCAAAUCACAAGUGUGGCAGAGAUGGAAUGCUCAUCCAGACAUGAAAACAAAUGCCUACGUGGGUUCCCAGCUGCGUAUGAACAGAAGACAGAGCUGGGAGAAAGCUGCUUGGAGGAGAAGGAAAAUGGGAGCACACAGUCUGCACUUCUGCUCUCCUAAGGAAAUUAUUCAGUGAAACAUUAUUGAAACUGUCAGAAAUGUACUUGAAGUAGGGACUAGCUUCUUAAUUCAGAUCAGAAUGGUGGUAGUGAAGCCAGAGAAUCAGGUAUUUGACAGACCUUCACUGAAGUCAAUAUCCUUUAGCGCUGACAUCCCUAAACUGCCUACUGUAAAAAACAUCAGUAUACCUGUAUUGGAUUUUACCUAUUGUGCUCGGUCUACCUGGGUUUAUUCUCUUUCACCAAAAUAAAAAGCAAAUCCAAACCAAAACCAACAACAAUUGAACAACCACACAAAAAACAGCCUACCCUGAAAAGUGUCUUCAAAUAGCCUCAGAAGAAAUCUGAGCUUUGUUGCUCUAGUUAUUUAUGAUGCUGACAGGAAUUACAUUACUGAAG